rnacentral:rRNA from 1 species
UACAGAGGGGGCAAGCGUUAUUCGGAAUUACUGGGCGUAAAGCGCACGUAGGCGGAUUUGCCAGUCAGGGGUGAAAUCCCGGGGCUCAACCUCGGAACUGCCUCUGAUACAGCAAGUCUUGAGUCCGGAAGAGGUGGGUGGAAUUCCUAGUGUAGAGGUGAAAUUCGUAGAUAUUAGGAAGAACACCAGUGGCGAAGGCGGCCCACUGGUCCGGUACUGACGCUGAGGUGCGAAAGCGUGGGGAGCAAACAGG